CAAUCUGGAGAGAGGCGCCAAGCGCGCCCACCGAAGGGGAACCCGCCGCCUGCGCCGCGGGUGAAGCUCUCAGGUACAGAGACAGAUGG
rnacentral:ncRNA from 2 species